rnacentral:rRNA from 1 species
UACAGAGGUGACGAACGUUGUCCGGAAUCACUGGGCGUAAAGGGCGUGUAGGCGGUUGAUUAAGUCAGAUGUGAAAUCUCUUGGCUCAACCAGGAAAUUGCAUUUGAAACUGAUCAGCUAGAGUUCGGUAGAGGAAGGCGGAAUUCCAGGUGUAGCGGUGAAAUGCGUAGAUAUCUGGAGGAACACCUGUGGCGAAGGCGGCUUUCUGGUCCGAUACUGACGCUGAAACGCGAAAGCUAGGGGAGCAAACAGG